GAAAUAAAUCGGAUGCUGAAGGUCCGACAGACGCUGGCGCGCUCCGUAGAAAUGAGGAAGACGCGGAGACUUCAAACUGAGACUUCACCCUCCCCGCGUGCGCACUGGCAAACAGGAGAGGAGCGAGAGAUAUCUUGGAGUACGUUGACAGCUACGAUACGGAUUGUGACAUCUCGGCUUGUCCUCUCUUUUCCCUGAAGUGCCAUCCGCGCCAGCACCGACAAUGUCAAUCACAGAAAAUAGAUGCAACUGCCACAGACUGCUGUGACUCUUUUGUUUGCGAAUGACUGAAAUCUGACAGAUCGAACGAUAGACCAGGCACCCUGCCAAAGCCCAACAGACUACCAAUGGCUAUUGGACAUUCUCUAGAAGAACUUCGAACUUUCAUCGUGUUAUUCCAUGUUAAUCCUUGAUAAGUAAAAAGCAGAUUUUUUCCACACAUCGUGUGGUGAUACGAGCAAUUCAUCUUGCAAUUGAGAUCUUUCCACCAAAACAAAAAUGUGGAUAGCAAGGAUCAAGCACAAAGGGUCAUUAUUGGCAGAUUGUCAUUCCAAGAACUCCUAUCAGUCACACUCACCUGCAGUUCUUAUCCCGUUGUCAAAUAAAAUCACUGUCUGGUUUUUAACCUCUUUCUCAUAGUCUACUUCCUGUUAAAAUUAUGUUGUGACAAAUGUACAGUAUGCUUCACAAAGAGCAAAAUGAUUAUUUAAUCACAGAUGGGUGUGUUUGGAGCUGUCCCAGGAACCCGGUGAAUCCACAGCGCACGCCGCUGAUAAUAGGUUUAUUACACAGCUACUAUCAAACCUAAAUGGGUUCAGUACAAACUUUAGAGCAAUUUAAAUUCUUUAAAAUGCCACUGUAUGAAAAUUGUUUUACUGAUGAUCUGCUGUGUGCUGCAUUGACA